rnacentral:snoRNA from 14 species
UGCCCAUACUAAACCCAAGAAUCACAGUUGUGUAGCAGUGAUUUAAACACAGGUGUGCACAGCAAGUGGAUCUCAUCGCCUUUGGGGCUGAGGCUGUGCCACUGGAAGUGAAUCUGGAAGUCUUACACCC